rnacentral:rRNA from 1 species
AGGACGAACGCUGGCGGCGUGCCUAAAACAUGCAAGUCGAACGAGGUCCAUCCAGUGGCAACACUGGUGAAGACCUAGUGGCGAACGGGUGAGUAACACGUGAGGAACCUGCCCCGAAGACCGGGAUAACCCUCCGAAAGGAGAGCUAAUACCGGAUGUCCCCACCAAUUCGCAUGGAUCGGUGAGGAAAUGGAUUCCGCUUCGGGAGGGCCUCGCGGCCUAUCAGCUUGUUGGUGGGGUAACGGCCUACCAAGGCAUCGACGGGUAGCUGGUCUGAGAGGACGAUCAGCCACACUGGGACUGAGACACGGCCCAGACUCCUACGGGAGGCAGCAGUUAGGAAUCUUGCGCAAUGGGCGAAAGCCUGACGCAGCAACGCCGCGUGGGGGACGAAGGCUCUCGGGUUGUAAACCCCUUUCAGUGGGGACGAAUCAAGACGGUACCCACAGAAGAAGCCCCGGCCAACUACGUGCCAGCAGCCGC